rnacentral:rRNA from 1 species
GACGAACGCUGGCGGCGUGCUUAACACAUGCAAGUCGAACGGAAAGGCCCUGCUUUUGUGGGGUGCUCGAGUGGCGAACGGGUGAGUAACACGUGAGUAACCUGCCCUUGACUUUGGGAUAACUUCAGGAAACUGGGGCUAAUACCGGAUAGGAGCUCCUGCUGCAUGGUGGGGGUUGGAAAGUUUCGGCGGUUGGGGAUGGACUCGCGGCUUAUCAGCUUGUUGGUGGGGUAGUGGCUUACCAAGGCUUUGACGGGUAGCCGGCCUGAGAGGGUGACCGGCCACAGUGGGACUGGGAUACGGCCCAGACUCCUACGGGAGGCAGCAGUGGGGAAUAUUGAACAAUGGGCGGAAGCCUGAUGCAGCAACGCCGCGUGCGGGAUGACGGCCUUCGGGUUGUAAACCGCUUUCGCCUGUGACGAAGCGUGAGUGACGGUAAUGGGUAAAGAAGCACCGGCUAACUACGUG